CGGGGUGUAGCUCAGCUUGGUUAGAGCGCUGCGUUCGGGACGCAGAGGCCGGCAGUUCAAGUCUGCCCACCCCGA
rnacentral:tRNA from 1 species